UGCUUGUUGAAAGCAGCUCAUAAUAGCAAAUAAAAUUAAACAUGCCUUACGUUUUCCCCUCACAAGAACAUAAACAGUAUUAAAGGGAGCAGGGAAUUUUAGAAAGGUAACGCAAUGUUUCUUUUAAGUAGCCCUUGGUAGUUAGUUUAUGACCAGACAGUUUAAGUUUCAGUUUUUGUUUGUUUCUUUGAGUGGGGAUUUUUGGUCCAAAAGUUUUGUUUGUUCCUAGUAUCUGCUUCUGCCUCCCCCUCCAUCAGAUCGGCUUCCUCCACGGCCACUACCUUUUGGUGCUCCGUAGCUCGAACUGCUGUAGGAAUCACGUGGCGGAGGGUACCUCUUUCCAUAGAAGGGGGAAGCCCUCUUUCUUGCUGCCCACGAGAUCAUGACCACUUGAGUAGAGAUCACUUUGGCUGCUUGAGUAACUGUCUCGACUUCCACCAUAUCUGUCACGAGAGCUGCUGUAAUCAUCAUAGUGAGUGCUUCCACUGUAAGAUGGCAGGGGCCCUCCUGUAGGUGGAGCACUACAUUGAGUUACCAUAACUCUCAUACAAAUCUCUGUAGGAACCUCCACUUGGAUGAUCUGAAUAGUCACAAUCCGGACCAUAUCCAUCUCUGUCACUAUAGCCGCUUGAUGGAUGGUUAUCUCGUGAAUUGGAAUGACCAUAAUCGCGUUUGCUAAUGGAAGCUCAUACCCUAAAGCAGCCAUCUGGACAACCUUUGGCUACUAUCUCCUACAUUCCUAGGGCUGUUUCAGAUAAGAGACUCUUGGGUUGCUAUGCUCAUAAACACUGGACCAAUUCUGAGACCAUCUGUUUCCUGGCCAAGUGUUUGACCAUGUGGUGGCUUACUGCAGACUGUGAUAAGCAGAAGAUGAAGUGUUCAUAAAGAUUCCAGGUUUGGGUGUGCAGGUGUUGAAGCUGAGCAUGAGCAAGGAGCCUCCCUGCCUGGGAUCACAACGCCAGCAUCCCUGCACCCCAUAGUCAAUCCUUCCUGCCACAUCUCCAUGCAGGGCUUCCCUCGGCUUUGACUUUCUAGCGCUGCGGAAGUACACCUUCUAGGACAGCAUCAACCUAACACAGCUAAGACAGUCAGCCGAUACAUAUGGCCCAUCACAAAAAACGACCACACUUCUGAAGCCUCUGAUCAAGGACCACAUCUGUUACCGCUGGCAAGCCGUGUCCCAGGAACCUCUUCUUUUCAACCCGGCCCUCUCCUUCCCUGUUCUAGGUUCCAUCCUCAGCACUACAUAAAGCAGGUAAGGAAGGAAGAUGGAGAGUCAAAGGCCACCCAUUCUUCAUUACAUAAUGAAUUCCAGGCUAACCUGUGAUACACGAGACUCCAUCAGACAAACAAACCAAAAAGAAAGAAUUAAAAAAAAAAAAUCCACUUGUGGGUUGACCUUUUCUUAAGCAAUGAAAAAAAAAACCCCUAUAAAUCCAUCUCUCAAAGUAAAUGGCUAGUGUUCAUUUCCUAUUUUUAAAAGAAAAUUUAUCUACUAUUUAUUCAAGAGAUAAGACAUGUUUCAAACUUCAAAAUUAAGAGGCCUGAGAACAUUGAGGGACAUAAAUAUCUCCCAGACUUGAAGGUAAAUGAUCACAAUCUCUUUCUUAUCUUCACUGUUUGUCUUGAAGAAGUUAGAGAGCAGAGCAAACCGGGUGCUUCGGUGGAGACUUUGGGGGAAGGGCUUGCUCAUAAAUCAAAAGGAGACUGAGGUCCUGAUGGCUUAGAGUUUACCCAGGCCUUCAUUUAGCCAUUCUGUUAUUCCAAGCAUAACCUCUGCAUGAAAACUGCCUUCAUGUUUCACCCUAGCAGGACUUGACUAGACCCUAGGGAGUCAAGCUCUUCCACUCUGUCCCCAGCUUCUGUGGGUGCAGGAAGAAACCUGUUGCUUCUGAAAGCAUCUACUUC
rnacentral:lncRNA from 1 species